rnacentral:rRNA from 1 species
AGCCUACGGGAGGCUGCAGUGGGGAAUAUUGGACAAUGGGGGCAACCCUGAUCCAGCAAUGCCGCGUGAGUGAUGAAGGCCUUCGGGUUGUAAAGCUCUUUUGCCAGGGACGAUGAUGACGGUACCUGGAGAAUAAGCCCCGGCUAACUUCGUGCCAGCAGCCGCGGUAAUACGAAGGGGGCAAGCGUUGUUCGGAAUUACUGGGCGUAAAGGGCGCGUAGGCGGCUUAUCAAGUCAGGCGUGAAAUUCCCGGGCUCAACCUGGGGGCUGCGCUUGAUACUGAUGAGCUUGAAUGCGGGAGAGGAUAGUGGAAUUCCCAGUGUAGAGGUGAAAUUCGUAGAUAUUGGGAAGAACACCGGUGGCGAAGGCGGCUAUCUGGCCCGUAAUUGACGCUGAGGCGCGAAAGCGUGGGGAGCAAACAGGAUUAGAUACCCGGGUAGUC